GGUUCCUUCGUCUAAACGGUCAGGACACAGCCCUUUCAAGGCAGAAAUGCUCGGUUCGAGUCCGGCAGGAACUAUCA
rnacentral:tRNA from 1 species